GGGCGAGUGGUGGAAUGGUAGACACGCCGGAUUUAGGUUCCGGUGCCGAAAGGCGUAGGGGUUCAACUCCCCUCUUGCCCA
rnacentral:tRNA from 2 species